rnacentral:rRNA from 1 species
AUGCAGCAGCCGCAGCAGCACAGGACGGCCAUGCGGAGGGACGGCGAGAGGGACCACCGGAGGGCGGCGGCCGAGAGGCCAGCCGCCCACCGGACGGAGAGGGCGGCGGCGGACGAGACGGCCCAUCGGAGGGCGGCCGAGGCGCCCCCCCGCCGGACGGAGAGGGCGGCCGAGGUGCUGCCCGCCGCCCACAGGACCGAGAGGGCGGGCGAGACGGCGGCCACCGCCCGGAGAGCGGCGGAGAUGCCCGCCCGCCGGACGGAGAGGAAGAAGAGCCUGGAGAGCCUCCUGGACGCCGCGGACGUGCGGGGGAAGCGCGGCGGCCCCGUGCCGGCCGUCGGCGAGAAGAUCACCACCUUCCCCGGCCAGGGCCUCGAGUUCAAGAACCUGUCCUACAGCGUCAUUAAGAAGCAGAAGAAGGACGGGGUCAAGAUCAAGAAGGAGGUGUACCUGCUCAACGACAUUUCCGGGCAGGCCCUCCGCGGCCAGGUCACCGCCAUCCUCGGCCCCAGCGGCGCCGGCAAGUCCACUUUCCUCGACGCCAUUGCCGGACGGAUCGCCAAGGGGAGCCUCGAAGGGUCUGUCAGCAUCGACGGACGACCUGUCACCACGAGCUACAUGAAGCAGAUUUCCUCUUACGUGAUGCAAGACGAUCAGCUGUUUCCCAUGCUUACGGUGCUGGAGACGCUCACAUUUGCAGCUGAGGUCAGGCUCCCGCCAUCCCUCUCAAGGGCUGAGAAGCUCAAGAGGGUGUGGGAACUCAUUGAGCAGCUUGGUCUGCAGACAACAGCUCACACAUACAUUGGGGACGAAGGGGUGCGAGGGGUCUCUGGCGGGGAACGCCGCAGAGUGUCGAUAGGCACAGACAUCAUCCAUAAGCCAUCUCUGCUGUUUCUCGACGAACCAACCUCCGGCCUCGACUCCACUAGUGCACACAGUGUGGUGGAGAAAGUGAAGGAUAUCGCAAGAGGAGGAAGCAUUGUGCUCAUGACUAUCCAUCAACCAUCUUUCAGGAUACAGAUGCUUCUUGACAGAAUUGUCAUCCUUGCAAGAGGGCGACUGAUCUAUCUAGGCAACCCAACCACACUUCCCACAUACCUUGCUGGAUUCGGCCGGCCAGUACCUGAGGGUGAGAACAGCAUGGAAUAUCUACUGGAUGUCAUCAAGGAGUACGAUGAAUCAACACUGGGACUUGAGCCUCUGGUUGCAUACCAGAGGGAUGGCAGCAAACCCACUGAAGCUGCGAAGACUCCGGUGCCGAGAACACCAAGGACACCAUACCAGAAGUCAGUCCAGUUCAGGCAAAUGCAACUCAAAAGCAACCAGUUUUCACUUGCAAGCGCAACGCCUCAUGCAAACCCCUUCUCAAACUUUGAGUCCUACAAUAUUGAUGACGAGGAGGGUGAUUUCGACAAUUCUCUUGAGAGAAAAAUACAGACACCCAUGCACACUGCAAACUCGGGCUACCAUCCAAGAUUAGCUUCACAGUUCUACAAAGAUUUCUCAGUCUGGGUUUACAAUGGUGUCGCAGGGACACCGCAGCGCAGGCCUACUUGGACUCCAGCUCGAACACCAGCAAGGACCCCAAUGUCAAGCUACCAGCGAAGCCGUGUGAAUACGCCGCACAGGUCAAUUCCUCCAUCUCCCCAAGAACCAGUGUUCAAGCCAGAAGAGCCAGACUAUGAGGAGCAGGGGCUUGAUAUUGAGCCACUAGAUGCACCAGAGGACGGGCCAAAGUUCGCCAAUCCUUGGCUCAGGGAGGUGGCUGUACUUUCAUGGCGUACCGCACUGAAUGUCGUGCGCACACCGGAGUUGUUCCUCUCUCGUGAGAUUGUGCUCACGGUCAUGGCACUCAUCCUCUCGACGCUGUUCCAUCGCCUCAGCGGUUCUGAUUUCCUGACCAUCAACCGCAUCCUCAACUUCUACAUCUUUGCAGUCUGCCUCGUCUUCUUCUCCUCGAAUGAUGCAGUCCCGACAUUCAUCCAGGAGCGCUUCAUCUUCAUCCGCGAGAGGUCACACAAUGCAUACCGUGCUUCGACAUACGUGAUCUCCUCCCUCAUUGUCUACCUUCCCUUCUUCGCCAUCCAGGGCUUCACCUUUGCGGUGAUCACGAAGUUCAUGCUCCAUCUGAAUAGCAGCUUGCUCUACUUCUGGAUCGUCCUCUUUGCAUCGCUCAUCACAACAAAUGCCUAUGUGAUGCUGGUGAGUGCGCUUGUUCCGAGCUACAUCACUGGCUAUGCCGUCGUGAUUGCAACGACAGCGCUCUUCUUCCUCACCUGCGGAUUCUUUCUGAAGCGGAACAAGAUCCCUAUUUACUGGAGAUGGCUUCACUACAUCUCCGCAAUCAAGUACCCGUUUGAGGCCUUGCUCGUCAACGAGUUCAAAGGCAGCCAUUGCUACACUGGCACAUUCAAUCAGCUGUCCCCAGGACCUCUGGGAGAAAUCAAGGAAAGUGGCCUUCAUGAUCAACUGAACCCAAACAUCACAACAUGCCCCUUGAUAGGCCAGGAUGUGCUCACCUCCAUGGAUAUCACAAUGGACAGCAUCUGGGUUGAUGUUGCAAUCCUCCUUGCCUGGGGUGUGCUCUAUCGGCUCUUCUUCUAUGUGGUCCUGAGAUUCUACUCCAAGAAUGAGAGGAAGUAA